UUAGAGUUUGAUCCUGGCUCAGGAUGAACGCCUGCGGCAGGCUUAACACAUGCAAGUCGAGGGGCAGCGAGAUCAGUGCUUGCACUGAUUGUCGGCGACCGGCGCACGGGUGCGUAACGCGUAUGCAACCUACCCAUUACAGGGGGAUAACACUGAGAAAUCGGUACUAAUACCCCAUAACAUCCAGGGAGGCAUCUUCUUGGGUUGAAAACUCCGGUGGUAAUGGAUGGGCAUGCGUUGUAUUAGUUAGUUGGUGGGGUAACGGCUCACCAAGACAACGAUACAUAGGGGGACUGAGAGGUUAACCCCCCACAUUGGUACUGAGACACGGACCAAACUCCUACGGGAGGCAGCAGUGAGGAAUAUUGGUCAAUGGACGCAAGUCUGAACCAGCCAUGCCGCGUGCAGGAAGACGGCUCUAUGAGUUGUAAACUGCUUUUGUACGAGGGUAAACGCAGAUACGCGUAUCUGUCUGAAAGUAUCGUACGAAUAAGGAUCGGCUAACUCCGUGCCAGCAGCCGCGGUAAUACGGAGGAUUCAAGCGUUAUCCGGAUUUAUUGGGUUUAAAGGGUGCGUAGGCGGUCGGAUAAGUUAGAGGUGAAAUCCCGGGGCUCAACUUCGGAAUUGCCUCUGAUACUGUUCGGCUAGAGAGUAGUUGCGGUAGGCGGAAUGUAUGGUGUAGCGGUGAAAUGCUUAGAGAUCAUACAGAACACCGAUUGCGAAGGCAGCUUACCAAGCUACUUCUGACGUUGAGGCACGAAAGCGUGGGGAGCAAACAGGAUUAGAUACCCUGGUAGUCCACGCAGUAAACGAUGAUAACUCGUUGUCGGCGAUACAGUGUCGGUGACUAAGCGAAAGCGAUAAGUUAUCCACCUGGGGAGUACGUUCGCAAGAAUGAAACUCAAAGGAAUUGACGGGGGCCCGCACAAGCGGAGGAACAUGUGGUUUAAUUCGAUGAUACGCGAGGAACCUUACCCGGGCUUGAAAGUUAGUGACGGAUCUUGAAAGAGGUCUUCCCUUCGGGGCACGAAACUAGGUGCUGCAUGGUUGUCGUCAGCUCGUGCCGUGAGGUGUCGGGUUAAGUCCCAUAACGAGCGCAACCCCUGCCGACAGUUGCUAACGCGUAGCGGCGAGGACUCUGUCGGGACUGCCGGCGCAAGCCGCGAGGAAGGCGGGGAUGACGUCAAAUCAGCACGGCCCUUACGUCCGGGGCGACACACGUGUUACAAUGGGGGGUACAGCGGGAAGCCAGGCGGCGACGCCGAGCGGAACCCGAAAGCCUCUCUCAGUUCGGAUCGGAGUCUGCAACCCGACUCCGUGAAGCUGGAUUCGCUAGUAAUCGCGCAUCAGCCAUGGCGCGGUGAAUACGUUCCCGGGCCUUGCACACACCGCCCGUCAAG
rnacentral:rRNA from 1 species